rnacentral:rRNA from 1 species
GAAUCUUAGACAAUGGGGGAAACCCUGAUCUAGCCAUGCCGCGUGAGUGACGAAGGCCUUAGGGUCGUAAAGCUCUUUCCCCAGGGAAGAUAAUGACGGUACCUGGAGAAGAAACCACGGCUACCUCCGUGCCAGCAGCCGCGGUAAUACGGAGGGGGUUAGCGUUGUUCGGAAUUACUGGGCGUAAAGCGCACGUAGGCGGGCUGUUAAGUCGGGGGUGAAAUCCCGGGGCUCAACCCCGGAACUGCCUUCGAUACUGGCAGCCUAGAGGUCGAGAGAGGUGAGUGGAAUUCCGAGUGUAGAGGUGAAAUUCGUAGAUAUUCGGAGGAACACCAGUGGCGAAGGCGGCUCACUGGCUCGAUACUGACGCUGAGGUGCGAAAGCGUGGGGAGCAAACAGG